UACGUAGGGGGCAAGCGUUGUCCGGAUUUACUGGGCGUAAAGAGCGUGUAGGCGGCCAAGCAGGUCCGUUGUGAAAACUGGAGGCUUAACCUCCAGACGUCGACGGAAACCGCGUGGCUAGAGUCCGGAAGAGGAGAGUGGAAUUCCUGGUGUAGCGGUGAAAUGCGCAGAUAUCAGGAAGAACACCUAUGGCGAAAGCAGCUCUCUGGGACGGUACUGACGCUGAGACGCGAAAGCGUGGGGAGCGAACAGG
rnacentral:rRNA from 1 species